UCUUCAAGGAUUAUACGAUAAACACGAAUAUUUGGGGAAGAGCAAAUAAAUUGAAAUGAAAGUGAAACGCUCGAGGGAAGCUGAAACAUCAUUUUUUUCUUUCAAAACACUUUCACUCCAUCUUCAAUUUCAUCAUGUUCAGAAACAACACAUGCAGCGGCUACGCUCCAUCUUCUCUCCGCCGAGAAAGCAACCACUGUAUCUUUAUGUUGCCGCUGUCGCCAACCUAAAUCUGACGAAACACCAUCCCCACCCCUGAAACUGGUGGCAAUUUCGCCAUCUUUCUUCUCUACUCCGACCACCGCGCAUCACCGUGCACUCAAUCACAACUAUGACGAUUAAAGCAAGCUCGAAUACGAUAUCCACAAAUUUGAUUCCUCUCUGAUUACGAAUAUUCUGAAGAUUACAAGAGAUGAUGGGACAAAGUGGCCUUGGAACUGCUUCAUGAUCUCAUCUUUUUUUAUAACAUUUUGGUUUGAACCAUAUGGGUGUGUUGGGGUGUUUUAUAUCAGUGUCGAUUCAGCUGCAAUUGUCAUUACAUUGUUGAUUUGAUUCAAAGUUGAAUCGUAUUGUUAGAAUCCAGAAUUCUAGCUCUUAAAGAUUUGUAGAUCCCUGAAGCCUACUGGUAUAAUUGGGAAGAAAUUUAAAAUGGGAAUGCUAUACGAGAUGUGGUGGUUCGAGGAGCACCUGCUAUUGCUAUUGCAGCAGCUCUCUCUGGCUGUGGAGGCACAACCUGGCAGACUUCUGUUUACAUAGUUUGGAGGCAAUUAGACAACAAAAGAUUACCGACGCGGUGGAUACCACGCCGUCCAAAUCGGCGACACUCAAAAUUGUUUUUGUUGUAGAUUAUCUUUGUUGAGCAUUUUGUAGCUCAUCUAGAGAUUAAUUGGAUAAGAUGAGGAAUACUCAUCAUUGGCUUUGUUACUGCAUAAUUUUAUAGAUUUAAUUUCGGUGACUUUUAGAUUAAUUAGUCUCAAUUAUUUAGCGAUACUUAUUGCUACACAAUCAAAUCCUUGCAAUUAUGAUACACAUAAAGGGUAAGGGAUCCACGACUGGAUCAAUGAAUUGUUUAGUUUACAUAAGUGUUUAUAUGGUGAGGGAAAGGUGGGUAUUUUUUUUUGGGUAUAAGCUAUUUAAGUUAACGACAAGUUGGAAUCCAGGAGUAAGUUCAUUGGGUCUAAUUUACAAACAAGAUAUCAACAAAUAUUCCUUGAAAAUUUUUGUUUAUGUUUUUGAUUUUGUUGUAAUUUUUUGCAGCUAAUUGGUGAAAUAGUAAGAGAAGUAAAAGCUGUUAUUUUUAUCAUAUUUAGUGGAUUUUUUAAAUAUUUUUAUUAAAAUUCUAUUCUUAAAAAAUGUAAUUUCAAGUCUUGAAACAAAUAAACCUUAUUAUUUUGAAUUUAUAAAAACUUUAAAGUAAUAUAAUAACAAAAAUAUAUAAUAAAUAAU